UUUGGUCCCCAUUCCUGUUCAACCCUACCAAAAGGGUCCCAAACUAUUUCAGAAUUUACAGAAUUGUCAUUGAACUUUUAUAUUUGGAAUUUAUUCACUUUGAUGGGCCCAAAGCUACCUACACCAGGGCUUUGGAACACCUAAGUUGCAUUAUCUAG